CGGGCAGUAGCUCAGUGGUAGGGCUCUCGCUUCGCAUGCAAGUAAACCUGGGUUGGAUUCCCGGCUGCUUAC
rnacentral:tRNA from 1 species